AGUGAACGCUGGCGGUAGGCCUAACACAUGCAAGUCGAACGGCAGCACAGGAGAGCUUGCUCUCUGGGUGGCGAGUGGCGGACGGGUGAGGAAUACAUCGGAAUCUACUCUGUCGUGGGGGAUAACGUAGGGAAACUUACGCUAAUACCGCAUACGACCUACGGGUUAAAGCAGGGGACCUGCGGGCCUUGCGCGAUUGAAUGAGCCGAUGUCGGCUUAGCUAGUUGGCGGGGUAAAGGCCCACCAAGGCGACGAUACGUAGCUGGUCUGAGAGGAUGAUCAGCCACACUGGAACUGAGACACGGUCCAGACUCCUACGGGAGGCAGCAGUGGGGAAUAUUGGACAAUGGGCGCAAGCCUGAUCCAGCCAUACCGCGUGGGUGAAGAAGGCCUUCGGGUUGUAAAGCCCUUUUGUUGGGAAAGAAAUCCAGCUGGCUAAUACCCGGUUGGGAUGACGGUACCCAAAGAAUAAGCACCGGCUAACUUCGUGCCAGCAGCCGCGGUAA
rnacentral:rRNA from 1 species